GAGAAAGUGAAGUGAAGAUUUAAGUAAGACUGUGCGCUCAGAGUGACAGCGGGCAGAAGGGUUCCCACGAAGAGAUGGAAAGCUCUAAUACCGUACUGUGUCAAGAUUGCUCCUCGCAAAGCUGAUCUAAUAAUCCACGAAUUUGUGCUUUGGGGGAUAUGUGCUUGAGGAUACAUCCCAGGCAAGAAAGAGUGAAGAGAACUGAAGGAAGUCCUGGGGCUGGAAAAUUACCCACAGCUUUAAACCAAGACCUCAAGGCUCCCAUGCAGACUUUCAAGCCCCCUCA